rfam:Callithrix jacchus chromosome 14, whole genome shotgun sequence
UUCUUAGUGUAAGUAUAUCCUAUGCAAUACUUGGGACAUACUUAUGCUACAA